rnacentral:rRNA from 1 species
AGAGUUUGAUCAUGGCUCAGGACGAACGCUGGCGGCGUGCUUAACACAUGCAAGUCGAACGAUGAAGCCCAGCUUGCUGGGUGGAUUAGUGGCGAACGGGUGAGUAACACGUGGGUGAUCUGCCCUGCACUUCGGGAUAAGCCUGGGAAACUGGGUCUAAUACCGGAUAUGACCAAGGACUGCAUGGUUUUUGGUGGGAAGGUUUACUGGUGCAGGAUGAGCCCGCGGCCUAUCAGCUUGUUGGUGGGGUAAUGGCCUACCAAGGCGACGACGGGUAGCCGGCCUGAGAGGGCGACCGGCCACACUGGGACUGAGACACGGCCCAGACUCCUACGGGAGGCAGCAGUGGGGAAUAUUGCACAAUGGGCGAAAGCCUGAUGCAGCGACGCCGCGUGGGGGAUGACGGCCUUCGGGUUGUAAACCUCUUUCAGCAGGGACGAAGCGCAAGUGACGGUACCUGCAGAAGAAGCACCGGCCAACUACGUGCCAGCAGCCGCGGUAAUACGUAGGGUGCGAGCGUUGUCCGGAAUUACUGGGCGUAAAGCGCUCGUAGGCGGUUUGUCGCGUCGUCUGUGAAAACCCGCAGCUCAACUGCGGGCUUGCAGGCGAUACGGGCAGACUUGAGUACUGCAGGGGAGACUGGAAUUCCUGGUGUAGCGGUGAAAUGCGCAGAUAUCAGGAGGAACACCGGUGGCGAAGGCGGGUCUCUGGGCAGUAACUGACGCUGAGGAGCGAAAGCGUGGGUAGCGAACAGGAUUAGAUACCCUGGUAGUCCACGCCGUAAACGGUGGGCGCUAGGU